rnacentral:rRNA from 1 species
GACAGAGGGUGCAAACGUUGUUCGGAAUUACUGGGCGUAAAGCGCGUGUAGGCGGCUGGGCAAGUCGGAUGUGAAAGCCCUGGGCUCAACCCAGGAAGUGCACUCGAAACUGCCGAGCUGGAGUCCCGGAGAGGAAGGCGGAAUUCUCGGUGUAGAGGUGAAAUUCGUAGAUAUCGAGAGGAACACCUGUGGCGAAGGCGGCCUUCUGGACGGCGACUGACGCUGAGACGCGAAAGCGUGGGGAGCAAACAGG